AGAAAUUUAUAUUUCGAUCCUACAACAACAAAAUUCAUUUGGUUAGAAGCCCACCCAUUAUUCCUUGAGGCGAGGGAGGUAACAAACGAAGAAAUUAUAAUGCACGGUAUAUCACGAAUACCGUUUUACUUCUUCUACGCACCGCGCAAAAUUUGCUAAAAACUGGCUUUAGGAAUAUUUACCUUGCUGAAAACAAAGGUAUAAAUAUAUAUUUUUUUUAAAUUUUAUCUAGAAUCUAGACGAAAUUCGUUGUAUUCUAUAUCUUCAUGCUUCUUUCUAGUCGUUCAUUAGGUUUAGCCCUUUACAUUUGUUUGUUUUAACUGAUUAUUGCUGCAUUUUUUAGAGAUAGGGUGCUACAAUGUAAAAAGAGACACUUGAUUAAUCCGCUUUUAUUUCCGUAAUAUUCGAAGUAAAAGAAAACGAGAAUAUAAAUGAAAGAUACAUAUUGCCAGUAAGAGCUUAAUUGGCAAAGGG